AUUGAACGCUGGCGGCAGGCUUUACACAUGCAAGUCGAACGAGUGGCGGACGGGUGAGUAAUGUCUCGGAACCUGCCUUCUAGAGGGGGAUAACUACUGGAAAAGGUAGCUAAUACCGCAUACCAUCAGAUCUGCCCAGAUGGGAUUAGCUGGUUGGUGGGGUAACGGCUCACCAAGGCGACGAUCCCUAGCUGGUCUGAGAGGAUGACCAGCCACACUGGAACUGAGACACGGCCCAGACUCCGACGGGAGGCAGCAGUGGGGAAUAUUGGACAAUGUGGGCAAGCCUGAUGCAGCCAUGCCGCGUGUAUGAAGAAGGCCUGCGGGUUGUAAAGUACUUUCAGCGGAGAGGCGUUACCCGCAGAAGAAGCACCGGCUAACUCCGUGCCAGCAGCCGCGGUAAUUC
rnacentral:rRNA from 1 species